rnacentral:rRNA from 1 species
CCUACGGGUGGCAGCAGUGGGGAAUAUUGCACAAUGGGGGAAACCCUGAUGCAGCGACGCCGCGUGAGUGAAGAAGUAUUUCGGUAUGUAAAGCUCUAUCAGCAGGGAAGAAAAUGACGGUACCUGACUAAGAAGCCCCGGCUAACUACGUGCCAGCAGCCGCGGUACUACGUAGGGGGCAAGCGUUAUCCGGAUUUACUGGGUGUAAAGGGAGCGUAGACGGCGGAACAAGUCAGAAGUGAAAACCCGGGGCUCAACCCUGGGAGUGCUUUUGAAACUGUUUGGCUGGCGUGCAGGAGAGGUAAGCGGAAUUCCUAGUGUAGCGGUGAAAUGCGUAGAUAUUAGGAGGAACACCAGUGGCGAAGGCGGCUUACUGGACUGUAACUGACGUUGCGGCUCGAAAGCGUGGGGAGCAAACAGGAUUAGAUACCCCAGUAGUC